AAAAGGGGGGGGGGGGGUAAAAAGAAAUUGUGGGGGGUCAAUUUUUUCUCAUUUCAGAUUUCAGAAAUUAAAAAGAAUUAUUCUUCAAAUAUUAUUUUUUUUUCAAAUUUCAAAUGUUGAAAAAUUUCAAGAAGUAAUCUUUAAUUGCACAGUAUGGCGCAUUAGAUUUGUAAAAUCUUUGAUCACAUUUAUUUAUUUGUAAUGCCGAAUCUAACAGUGUAUUUAGAUUUUUAAUUUUGGGUCCAGUUUUUAAAUUAGUCUACAUUAAGGUCCAAAGGGUCCAAAAUUAAACUUUGUUUGAUUUUAGCAAAAAUUGAAUAUAUGAGGUUCUUUGAUAUGCUGAAUCUAAACAUGUAUUUAGAUUUUUGGCCCAGUUUUCAAGUUGGUCCAAAUUGGGGUCCAAAAUUAAACUUUGUUUGAUUUCAACAAAAAUUGAAAAUAUGGGGUUCUUUGAUAUGCUGAAUCUAACCAUGUAUUUAGAUUUUUUAUUUGUGGACCCCGUUAUCAAAUUGGUUCAUAUUGAGGUCAAAAGGGUCCAAAAUUAAACUUUGUUUGAUUUCAUCAAAAAUUGAAUUAUUGGGGUUCUUUGAUAUGCCAAAUCUAACCGUGUUUUUAGAUGUUUAAUUUGGGUCCCGUUUUUUAAAUUGGUCUUCAUUGAGGUCCAAAGGGUCCAAAAUUAAACUUAGUUUGAUUUUAACAAAAAAUGAAUUCUUGGGGUUCUUUGAUAUGCUGAAUCUAAACAUGUGUUUAGAUUUUUGAUUAUGGGCCCAGUUUUCAAGUUGGGUCCAAGUCGGGGUCCAAAAUUAAACUUUUUUCGAUUUCAACAAAAAUUGAAUAUAUGGGGUUCUUUGAUAUGCUGAAUCUAACCAUGAAUUUAGAUUUUUUAUUUGUGAGCCCCGCUAUCAAAUUGGUUCAUAUUGAGGUCAAAAGGGUCCAAAAUUAAACUUUGUUUGAUUUCAUCAAAAAUUGAAUUAUUGGGGUUCUUUGAUAUUCCAAAUCUAACCGUGUAUUUAGAUUUUUAAUUUCAAGUCCCGUUUUUUAAAUUGGUCUACAUUAAGGUCCAAAGGGUCCAAAAUUAAACUUAGUUUGAUUUUAACAAAAAUUGAAUUCUUGGGGUUCUUUGAUAUGCUGAAUCUAAACAUGUGUUUAGAUUUUUGAUUAUGGGACCAGUUUUCAAGUUUGUCCAAGUUGGGGUCCAAAAUUAAACUUUGUUUGAUUUUAACAAAAAUUGAAUAUAUGGGGUUCUUUGAUAUGCUGAAUCUAACCAUGUAUUUUGAUUUUAGACAUUGGACCAUAAUAGGUAAAUUAAAAAAAAUCAAGUUCUUAGACCACAUUCUUUCUGUGUCAGAAACCUAUGCUGUGUCAAAUAUUUAAUAACAAUCCAAAUUCUGAGCUGUAUCAAGCUUGAAUGUUGUGUCCAUACUUGCCCCAACUGUUCAGGGUUCGACCUCUGCGGUCGUAUCAAGCUGCGCCCCAGCGAAGCAUUUUAUUGUAGUUAGUUUUGUGUUUUAGCAUUAGUUAAAUUUUUCUUAGUCGUUAA